rnacentral:lncRNA from 1 species
GUGAUUCCUUACAACAAGUGUAUCUCAUAUAUGAUACAUAGCAAUCACAUUGUAAAAAUGCAACCAUCAAUGAAGAAUACACACAAAUUUUUGCAACAAUUCUUGUAAAUACUAUACUAUUCUAUUUUGUUCUAAAUAUAGUGUAGUCCUGCUCAUCUUCCUCCCCCUCUCCCUCUCCCUCCCCCUCCUCCUCCUAUCCAUCCUCCUCCUCUUCCUCCCCCUCCCCUACCUUUCCUUCUCCUCCUCCUUCUUCUUUAUCGCAGUGAGCCAUCACUAUCACUCUUUCUUUAACUUAUAAACGGUUUACAUUGUGAUGUUUCUAUGUAUCAAGUUCUCUAUCCUUUGAAACUGAUAAAAUCAUUUGUGUGACUAUACUGUAUGAUGUGUAGAAUAGCAUGACAAAUUUAGUUUUGGCAUUUCAACAUCACGCGUACGCGGCAGGAAGGAGAGUUUGGUCAUGUUUGUGCGUAAAUUGUCUC